UCGAGAAUCUUUCGCAAUGCCCGAAAGGGUGACGAAGCGACGCCGCGUGCGGGAAGAAGGCCUUCGGGUUGUAAACCGCUGUCGGGAGUUAGGAAAUGCAAGGAUGUUAAUAGCAUUCUUGCUUGACUAAGGCUCCGGAGGAAGCCACGGCUAACUCUGUGCCAGCAGCCGCGGUAAUACAGAGGCGGCAAGCGUUGUUCGGAAUUAUUGGGCGUAAAGAGCACGUAGGCGGCUGUGUAAGUCGGUUGUGAAAGCCUUCCGCUUAACGGAAGAACGGCAUCCGAUACUGCAUAGCUUGAGUGCGGGAGGGGAGAGUGGAACUUCUGGUGGAGCGGUGAAAUGCGUAGAUAUCAGAAGGAACACCGGCGGCGAAGGCGACUCUCUGGCCCGUAACUGACGCUGAGUGUGCGAAAGCUAGGGGAGCAAACGGGAUUAGAUACCCGUGUAGUCCCUGAGCGGGCUGGCAAGGCGCAU
rnacentral:rRNA from 1 species